rnacentral:lncRNA from 1 species
UGUUGAGGAUUGCCCUUGAGAAGUCAUAAACUAGUGGGGAUCGUUUGGGAAAUGCCUACACAAGAAGUUGAACUGAUUCAGUUAUGUACAAACUGAUAGGUAAUGAAUCGCUUGCUCAUCAGAAAAACAGCAAAUGCACACUCAACUAUAGGUCUGAAAUAUAGCUAAUAUUAUUUUAAAGGUGAACAUUCUAGGAUUCUCCAUAAUACAAGAAAAAUAUGUUUAAGACAAAUAAAUUGGUGUCUGAAAUAGAGCUAAAUAAAUUGCAUGGUACAUAUGUGCAGUUAGUGUUACCAAAGACAUGCCUAUGCACUGUGGUUUAAAGUUUUUCUCCAUGAACUAAAGUUACCACACAAGUAGGGGCAAUAUCAAACAAGAGAAAUUUAUUCAAUGAAAAAAAAGGAAAAUUGUCCACAGCAGUGUUAUAGAACGCCUGUUUUAAAUUCGACUGGCAUUGCAAGGAACAGAAAAACACCAAGGAUAAUAGCCUUCCUAUGUUAUCUUUUUGAGAAAAGAAUUAUUUUCUUGUCCUUGUAUUGAUAAGAUCACAAAUAUGAAACUUUGUAUUGAUAAUACAUCAAAACGCUGCUUAUACUUUUUUGAGUGAAUUGCUCUUUGGGCCACCCUUUACUUAAUCUUCUCACUUUGGACUAGGUAUUUUUGUCAUUUUUUCAUUUUGGACCACUCAAACUCUCUUCGUGAUCACAUCAACAGCCUCAAGCACAUCGGCACCCUCAUUCCGAUGGUCUCCCCUUUUACGUUCAGCUCACAUCUUUGCUGGAGGAGAGGUUGGCUAGAAAAAAGAGUUAGGGUGGUCCAAAGUGAAACAAAGGGGAAAAAAAACCUAGUCCAAAGUAAAAAAGAUUGGAUAGAGGGUGGUCGGAAGUGAAACUUCGGUAAUUCUUGUUUUUACUCAGAACUAUUUGAGCACAUAAAAUAAUUUUCGAGGUUACAUCCUCCAUGGCAAUUCAAUUUGCAACAAGAAGAAAUGUGAGUUAAUCACAAAUUACUACAAAUCAUAAGUACGUACCGCGUACAACAUUAUCCAACAGUGAAUGUUACUCACUAUAGGCGGCUAGCAGAACAAAAGAGUUACAGUAUGACUUUACUAGUCACAGACUGCUUAUUGUAGUAAAUGAUUAUGGAGAAUGAUGGGUUCCAUACCACGAAUAGCUCUGUUAGAGUCCCAGGUUUGUUAUUAUCUUAAAUUUAUUAUGUGUGCCUCUGUCUCCAAAUGUUCUGUAUGUUUUGAUAAGUAUGAGCAGCUCUCGAACAUAUAUUUACAAGGAUUUUUGUACUUUAGAGGUAUGUUCUGUGCAAAGAAAUAUUUAGCAGUUUAACUUACAAAGCCAAAGCCUUCAGAUUUGUAAAUUGGUCCGACCAUUGUGUACCCUUUGCAAUGCUUUGCAAGAAAUAUUUUGAUGUAUGGAACUUCAUGUACGACUGCUGCAAUACCUCCAUUUUGGCUCCCUUUAGCAAGUGCAUCAGCAAACUCAUCUGGAUUUUCAUAUGCCCUCAUUUUCGUCCUGUCAAAACCAAGUCCUUCUAGUAAAUCGGACAAAUAAGAGCCAUUACGAUACCCUACAUAUUCUCCACUUUUAAGGAGUUCAUGAAUGUCAGUCACGGUAGGUUGAAGCUGUUGCACCGUUAGCAUUGAAGAUAAAUUGGCUGUAUAGCUUGAUGUAAUCACAAGAAGCACAAAGACCCAUACGAUGACAACCAAUCUAGACAAAAUACUGUCCACCCUUUCCCCUGCAAAAUGACAAACCUUCAUUUUUUAGAAAUUCAAAUAAACAUUAAUGCUGAAUUUACUCUUAGUACAGCGUAUCUUUUGUUAGUUAAAGACUGAGAUUGCAGAAUAAAAUUAUUUUUGUCAGCUCUUUUUCGCUCUAAUUUUGUAGUGAUAGUUCAGGUUUAUCUUGCCUUUAACCCCAGUAGAAUCUGUCACCAAGAAAUUCCUAAAUCACAGAAUUAAAUGUCAAAAAUGUAGUAUUUUGCAUGUAAAUAAGAAAACCUAAUAUAAUCACUUACUAUCUGCAAAGAAUGAGAAAUAUAUUGCAAUCCCAAGCUGGCGAAAAAAUGAACCAGUCAGUUCAGCAUUGUUAAUUCUUCGCUCCAACAGCCAUAUUACAACUGCUGUGUAGAUGAAGAAAGCAAUGCUUCCAAACCACAAGCCAGUAGUUAAUGGCUUCAAGAAAACCCAUGUAUUCUUAUCCCUGUCGUCCUUAACUGGCACAAUCAUUGCCACCCCUGAUUCAGUAUAAGGUAGUGUGAAAUCGACAUAUGAAGUUCUAUUGUACCUGAUGGUUAUAUCCCCAAUUGCUGCAUCAUAUACCUGCAAUGCCUUUUCUUUUUUAACUUCAGUUACUCUAUGAUGAUUUGGGAAAAUCAUAGAAAAAUGGCAAUAGUUACACCGUGCCAAUCUAUCCUUAUCUGAUGAAAGACUUUUUACUCCCCUUGAGGGGAUACCAAGAAGUUCCACACUAGACAACAUAGACAGACUUAAUCUGAAAGGAACAGUACUGCAAUCUAUGCUUGAGCAUACAUCUAAUCAAUCUGUACUUAUUAUACAUAAAACAAGGAAAAGUUACUCCCUUAGUUUUCACAUAGUUUGCUCAUUUUUUUUGUAUACCCAUCUACUAUAAGUUUCAUUUCAGAAUGUGAAUUGUUAAGUUUAAAAACUCUGACCACUAAUACACACAAAAUAAUUUAGAUUUGUUAAAGGGAAUGCUAUAGUAGACUUUUUGUCAAAAGCACUUUCACAUCAUUAUGUUUUAUAUAUUAUUGACAAACAUAUAACUAAAAAAAAUUAGCAAAAGCAAGGGAAUAACUAAAUUAUCUUGAUUAAAAUUUUCAUGUGGGUAUACCAAUCUAUAGAACAGUUUUUGACAAAGUGAGAACCAAAAUUCCUUACCCCAAGAUGAACUUGGUAGACAAAAUCAUUAUAGCUCCCAGAGUUUACUCCUUGUCCGUCAUCAAAUGCUACAUAUUCAUAAGGUAUUGCAUACGGAAGUCUCUUUAACGCCUCUUCAAAUACAUCGAUUGCAUAUCCAGAAGCAGUUAUUUCAUUGGUGGCAGUAUUCCUUUCCACCUUCAUAAACUCGGGAUAUCCACUUGUCCGUACACCUACACGGAGCUUCUUUCCAUUAGUGGGAAUUUGCCAUCCUUUAGGCACCGUAUAUACUUCUCCUGGCCACAUCACUCGAUUAAGACCAGGCAUAGAGUUCACGUUUGUUGUUUUUGAUAUAUUUUCGUUUAUUUGCCUGAAUAUUCCAUGCUUUGUUAUCCAAAAGCCUAUUUCUUUUGACCUGCCUCCAACCACAUUAAUUAUCUGGAAUGUGGAAAAUUCCAGCUGCCUGUUUCCAAGGUCAAAUUCACCACUUAGGCCUUGAAACUUACUAUGUAAGAUCGAGUCUAAGAGUUCUGGACCAAUUGUAGAAAUUCCCAGAGUUCCCAAACUUGUUGAGUUCUUUCCGUCUUUCUGCUUUCGAAAUAUAGCAUCAGCCAUUCUUACUUUUUCUGCUGCCUGUGCUAAGGCCCAGAUAGUAUCAUAACCCCAAAGACCGAAAGUGCUUAGUUGUGAUGGUGGAUCAUUUGGGUUGUCUUCUUUGAACCUCUUAUUCCAUCUUGUAGUGAAGUCAUCAAGUUCCUUUGAUGCAGGCACAUAGAACCUGACACCAAUUGCACCAUUCAUUUUCUCUAGAAUUGAAGUGUUUAGAGAAUUAACAAUAUUUGAAAUGCCAUCUGUCAAAAUCCAUGCAUAAUCUUCGCUCAUCAUUCCUAAGUCCUUAGCCUUUGCGAAGAGAAUGGAGGCAAUGUUCAAUGACAUAUGAACAACAUAGACUCUAGUCUGCAUUGUCAUUAGCUUGUAGAGUUCUCUCUCAAGUUGGUCAGUAGUUGCUGAUUCAGAUAUUGCACUGCGAUAUGGCAUAAAAGCUCCAAAUUCUUGGAGAGCAUCAGCCAGGUAUGGUAUGAUGCCCCUACCAUAGUCCGUAUCCUCAUAAAUGGGUACCACUUCCCUCCAGUCAUAUGCCUUAAUGAGAGCAGCAAUGGUAUUCACUUGAGCAACAUCACUUAACGUUCCACGCAAAAAAUAUGGCACAUUGAUGGAUGAAAGAGCAGGGUUUGUUGCUGUGAAGGAGAUUACUGGGACUUGGCUCUUGUUCCCAAGAUUAGACACAAACGUAACCUCUGAAGAUUUUUGUGGGCCAACGAUAGCUCUCACGUUGUAAUUUUCCAGCAGGUCAAUUGCUUUGCAAUGGAAUAGGAAAUCAGUUAAUUUGAAGAACAUGUAAGACGUGCAUACAUUGUGGUUGCACACAUAAGAAUCUUAGUGCAACUUGAGGUGUUAGGCAGCUGGAAGUAGCGGUGUUAUAACUUAGAAUAUAAUGGCUAGGCUGUAUAAUCACCUCUUAUUAGGUGUUCAUCACGACAUUGGGCACAUCAGAGCAAAAUAGUGAGCUCAUUCUACAUAGCAUAGCUAUAUUUGAUACGGAGCUCUCUUUUUGCUCCAAAAUUGAAGGAGUUGCUAAAGAUAGAGAAGACUACACAAAGGUUGUAUUUUUAAAAUACAAUGGCAAAAACUUAAAUUCGAUAAGACAAGUGUGAACUGUGAAGACACUGGAUUUUAACCUGCAUACAGAUCUGUGGAGGUGUCACGGGAUUCUAGUUUUUUAUUUUGCUUAAAAUUUUCAUUUUUAGGAUUAAGUUCUAAAUGCACAUAAUGCUUUGAAGAUUUGCAGCAAUUGUAGAAAAGAGAAACGCGAAAAUAAAAACUGUAUAAAUGAAAAACAUGUGUUUCAGUGCCUUUUUUGUAUCAUUUUCCCUCCAUUACAUUUAAAUAUAAUGAAAUUGAAGUUCUAAAAUUUGUGAAGUUCCCUUAACUUCAAAGAAAUAACUAUUGCAUAGGAUCUUGCCACAUUAUGAUGCGAUGAUGACCCAAACUUUGAUGAUUUUUAGUGACAGCUUACAAUUGUAUAACGUACCUUCUGAUGCAGCUUGGACAUCAUCUCCAUUGGAAUCUCUAAUGUGGAGAACCAGCUUUGUCUUGAAGUUCCUGUGGACCGAGUAGAAAUCUUCGACAGCCAUCAAAACGCUG